GAAGUAUCUCCGUCAAGAAGAAGAAAAAUGUCCCCCUUGAGGUCAUUAGAACAUGAGGAAACCAAUAUGCCUACUAUGCACGACCUUGUUCAUACUAUUAAUGACCAGUCUCAAUAUAUUCAUCAUUUAGAGGCAGAAGUUAAGUUCUGCAAGGAGGAACUCUCUGGAAUGAAAAAUAAAAUACAAGUAGUUGUGCUUGAAAACGAAGGGCUCCAGCAACAGCUAAAAUCUCAAAGACAAGAGGAGACACUGAGGGAACAAACACUUCUGGAUGCAUCCGGAAACAUGCAGAAUUCUUGGAUUACAACAGGUGAAGAUUCUGGGGUGGGCGAAACCUCCAAAAGACCAUUUUCCCAUGACAAUGCAGAUUUUGGCAAAGCUGCAUCUGCUGGUGAGCAGCUAGAACUGGAGAAGCUAAAACUUACUUAUGAGGAAAAGUGUGAAAUUGAGGAAUCCCAAUUGAAGUUUUUGAGAAAUAAGAAUCACGGCCGGGCGCGGUGGCUCACGCCUGUAAUCCCAGCACUUUGGGAGGCUGAAGCGGGUGAAUCA
rnacentral:sRNA from 1 species